GGAAGAGGGAACCAGCAGCACAGACAGCGCGGUCGGGUUUUGGGGGCGCCGCUGGGCGGGAGGAUCCGGCAACUCCCUGAAGUUGCGGCACGGCGGGGCGUGGGCGCAGAGAAGGGCCAUUUAAACCUUGCGGGCUGUGCAGAGGGUUGGCGGCCGGACGCCAGCAGCUAUCAGAAGUGGGGCAAAUCACGUGACUUCCUACACUGCGAACCAUGGCACUGCCGUUCCGGAAGGACUUGGGGGAGUAUAAGGACCUGGAUGAAGAUGAGCUCCUUGGCAAUCUGUCAGAAGCAGAGCUGAAACAGCUCGAGACUGUCCUGGAUGACCUUGACCCCGAGAAUGCCCUUCUGCCUGCAGGUUUUCGGCAGAAGAACCAGACCUCAAAGUCUGCCACGGGACCCUUUGAUAGAGAACAUCUCCUUUCUUAUCUAGAGAAGGAGGCACUGGAGCAUAAAGACCGGGAAGACUAUGUGCCCUACACUGGAGAGAAAAAAGGGAAAAUUUUUAUCCCCAAACAGAAACCUGUGCAGACUUUUACAGAAGAAAACAUAUCCCUUGAUCCAGAAUUAGAAGAAGCUUUGACAAGUGCCUCUGAUACAGAAUUGUGUGACCUUGCAGCUAUUCUUGGAAUGCACAAUCUGAUCACAAACUCACAGUUCUGUGAUGUGGUGGGGAGCAGUAAUGGUGUCGACCAAGAACAUUUUUCAAAUGUGGUAAAAGGUGAAAAGAUUCUUCCAGUGUUUGAUGAGCCUCCAAACCCAACCAAUGUUGAAGAGAGUUUAAAGAGAAUUAAGGAAAAUGAUUCCCGUCUUGUUGAAGUUAAUUUGAAUAACAUAAAAAAUAUCCCAAUUCCAACUCUAAAAGAUUUUGCUAAGACUUUGGAAACCAACACACAUGUGAAACAUUUCAGUCUUGCAGCCACCAGGAGCAAUGACCCCGUGGCUAUGGCGUUUGCAGAUAUGCUAAAAGUGAACCAAACUCUGAAGAGUUUAAAUAUGGAGUCCAACUUCAUUACAGGCACAGGGGUUUUGGCACUGAUUGAUGCUUUGAGAGACAAUGAGACCCUGACAGAGCUCAAGAUUGACAAUCAGAGACAGCAAUUGGGCACAGCUGUAGAAUUAGAAAUGGCUAAGAUGCUUGAAGAAAAUACGAAUAUUCUUAAAUUUGGGUAUCAGUUCACACAGCAAGGACCCCGAACCAGGGCAGCCAAUGCUAUAACGAAAAACAACGACUUAGCUGUCCAUUGAAAUACUUCUGCCUACUCGCCAUCUCUCCAGCUAAGAAGUGUCCCAGCUCUAACAGAAAAGAGUGCGCAAGAGGCGAGUUGAAGGAGACCAUCAGUAAGAGUGCCACGGUACCUUUGGAAGCCUGCAGAUCACCAGAGGCUCCUGUGGUGACGGCAGAUGUAACGAUGUCCUGGGUAGAAGGGGAAAGACUGGAAAUCUUUUUUAACCAUAUGCAUUAUUUUCCUAGCUUCAAGUAUUAUGUUUGAUUUGUAAAAUCAGUAAUUAGUAUUUUAUAUUUGUAGCCUUUCUACUGAAAUCAUUUUAAUUUAGCUUAAUUGAAUGGUUUAUAAUUUUUAGAUAAAAAUGCAGUUGUAGAAAGUUUCAGAAGUCAUGUAUGUAAGAAUAAUUUGAGGGUUGGGGAUUUAGCUCAGUGGUAGAAUGCUUGCCUAGCAAGCGCA